GACGAACGCUGGCGGCGUGCUUAACACAUGCAAGUCGAACGGAAAGGCCCUGCUUUUGUGGGGUGCUCGAGUGGCGAACGGGUGAGUAACACGUGAGUAACCUGCCCUUGACUUUGGGAUAACUUCAGGAAACUGGGGCUAAUACCGGAUAGGAGCUCCUGCUGCAUGGUGGGGGUUGGAAAGUUUCGGCGGUUGGGGAUGGACUCGCGGCUUAUCAGCUUGUUGGUGGGGUAGUGGCUUACCAAGGCUUUGACGGGUAGCCGGCCUGAGAGGGUGGCCGGCCACAUUGGGACUGCGAUACGGACCAGACUCCUACGGGCGGCAGCAGUGGGGAAUCUUGCGCAGUGGGCGGAAGCCUGAUGCAGCAACGCCGCGUGCGGGAUGCCGGCCUUCGGGUUGUAAACCGCUUUCGCCUGUGACGAAGCGUGAGUGACGGUAAUGGGUAAAGAAGCACCGGCUAACUACGUG
rnacentral:rRNA from 1 species